rnacentral:rRNA from 1 species
UACGUAGGGGGCUAGCGUUGUCCGGAUUUAUUGGGCGUAAAGAGCGUGUAGGCGGCCAGGUAGGUCUGCUGUGAAAACUCGAGGCUCAACCUCGAGACGUCGGCGGAAACCAUCUGGCUAGAGUCCGGAAGAGGAGAGUGGAAUUCCUGGUGUAGCGGUGAAAUGCGCAGAUAUCGGGAGGAACACCUGUGGCGAAAGCGGCUCACUGGACCACAACUGACGCUGAGACGCGAAAGCGUGGGGAGCGAACAGG